rnacentral:tRNA from 1 species
GGGUGCCGAGCACGUCGCAGGCCACGUGCAGGCCGCUGCGGUCGGCCUUGCACAGCUGCUCCAGGGUUGCCCGUGCGUCCAGUUCCGCGCCGUUGCCCU